rnacentral:rRNA from 1 species
UUUCCGGUUGAUCCUGCCGGACCUGACUGCUAUCGGAUUGAUACUAAGCCAUGCGAGUCAUUGUAGCAAUACAAGGCAUACGGCUCAGUAACGCGUAGUCAACCUAAUCUAUGGACGGGAAUAACCUCGGGAAACUGAGAAUAAUGCCCGAUAGAACAUUAUGCCUGGAAUGGUUUAUGUUCCAAAUGAUUUAUCGCCGUAGGAUGGGACUGCGGCCUAUCAGUUUGUUGGUGAGGUAAUGGCCCACCAAGACUAUUACAGGUACGGGCUCUGAGAGGAGUAGCCCGGAGAUGGGUACUGAGACACGGACCCAGGCCCUAUGGGGCGCAGCAGGCGAGAAAACUUUGCAAUGUGCGAAAGCACGACAAGGUUAAUCCGAGUGGUUUCUGCUAAAGGAACCUUUUGUCAGUCCUAGAAACACUGAUGAAUAAGGGGUGGGCAAGUUCUGGUGUCAGCCGCCGCGGUAAAACCAGCACCUCAAGUGGUCAGGAUGAUUAUUGGGCCUAAAGCAUCCGUAGCCGGCUCUGUAAGUUUUCGGUUAAAUCUGUACGCUCAACGGUACAGGCUGCCGGGAAUACUGCAAAGCUAGGGAGUGGGAGAGGUAGACGGUACUCGGUAGGAAGGGGUAAAAUCCUUUGAUCUAUUGAUGACCACCUGUGGCGAAGGCGGUCUACCAGAACACGUCCGACGGUGAGGGAUGAAAGCUGGGGGAGCAAACCGGAUUAGAUACCCGGGUAGUCCCAGCUGUAAACCAUGCAAACUCAGUGAUGCAUUGGCUUGUGGCCAAUGCAGUGCUGCAGGGAAGCCGUUAAGUUUGCCGCCUGGGAAGUACGUACGCAAGUAUGAAACUUAAAGGAAUUGGCGGGGGAGCACCACAAGGGGUGAAGCCUGCGGUUCAAUUGGAUUCAACGCCGGA